GGCUCAAUGGUCUAGGGGUACAAUUCUCGCUUUGGGUGUGAAAGGUCCUGGUCAAAUCCUGGACGAGCCC